GUAGAUAUAGUUUAAAUAAAACACUAAACUGUGAACUUAGCUAUAAGGGCUCGAAACCCCUUAUCUACC
rnacentral:tRNA from 2 species